AGUGGAAUAGCUGGGUCAAAUGUGGUUCCAUUAUCAGAUUUCCAAGGAAUCUCCAUAUUGCUUUCCAGAUUGGCUGCACCAAUUUGCAGUCCCACCAGCAGU
rnacentral:pre_miRNA from 1 species